CGUGGGUGAUCUGCCUUGCACUUCGGGAUAAGCCUGGGAAACUGGGUCUAAUACCGGAUAGGACCAUGCUUUAGUGUGUGUGGUGGAAAGUUUUUCGGUGCAAGAUGAGCCCGCGGCCUAUCAGCUUGUUGGUGGGGUAAUGGCCUACCAAGGCGACGACGGGUAGCCGGCCUGAGAGGGUGUACGGCCACAUUGGGACUGAGACACGGCCCAGACUCCUACGGGAGGCAGCAGUGGGGAAUAUUGCACAAUGGGCGCAAGCCUGAUGCAGCGACGCCGCGUGGGGGAUGAAGGCCUUCGGGUUGUAAACCCCUUUCGCUAGGGAAGAAGCCUUUUUGGUGACGGUACCUGGAUAAGAAGCACCGGCUAACUACGUGCCAGCAGCCGCGGUAAUACGUAGGGUGCGAGCGUUGUCCGGAAUUACUGGGCGUAAAGAGCUCGUAGGUGGUUUGUCGCGUCGUCUGUGAAAUCCCGGGGCUUAACUUCGGGCGUGCAGGCGAUACGGGCAUAACUAGAGUGCUGUAGGGGAGACUGGAAUUCCUGGUGUAGCGGUGAAAUGCGCAGAUAUCAGGAGGAACACCGAUGGCGAAGGCAGGUCUCUGGGCAGUUACUGACGCUGAGGAGCGAAAGCAUGGGUAGCGAACAGGAUUAGAUACCCUGGUAGUCCAUGCCGUAAACGGUGGGCGCUAGGUGUGGGGGUUUUAUUUACGAUUCCCGUGCCGUAGCUAACGCAUUAAGCGCCCCGCCUGGGGAGUACGCCGCAAGGCUA
rnacentral:rRNA from 1 species